AGAGUUUGAUCAUGGCUCAGGACGAACGCUGGCGGCGCGCUUAAUACAUGCAAGUCGAACGAGAAGCCAGAGCUUGCUCUGGUGGGAAAGUGGCGAACGGGUGAGUAACACGUGAGAAACCUGCCCCAAAGAUUGGGAUAAGCCUUGGAAACGAGGUCUAAUACCAAAUACCUUCUUUUAACACAUGUUAAAAGAAGAAAUGCUCCGGCGCUUUGGGAUGGUCUCGCGAUCUAUCAGCUUGUUGGUGAGGUAACGGCUCACCAAGGCAUCGACGGAUAGCUGGUCUGAGAGGAUGUCCAGCCACAUUGGAACUGAGACACGGUCCAAACUCCUACGGGAGGCAGCAGUAGGGAAUCUUGCACAAUGAGGGAAACCUUGAUGCAGCGACGCCGCGUGCGGGACGAAGGCCCUAGGGUUGUAAACCGCUUUCAGUAGGGACGAAAGUGACGGUACCUACAGAAGAAGCCCCGGCCAACUAUGUG
rnacentral:rRNA from 1 species